CUCACUAGUUUUAGGGCGUUUCUCCAUUGGCAGGUCCCUUCCAUCACAUAUAUAUGCAUCGAAAUUUUCCCAUGAUCGAUUUGUAUAUGAUCUGCCAAAGGAGAGUUGCCCUGAAACUUGUUCAGCUUAAUUAAGAUUUAAGCACGUGAACGAGAGCAGUAAGUCAGUAACCAAAGAUGAAACUGCUGAGGUUUGAGGAAGCGACAUUCAGGUGGAUACCAAAAACGAUGAAUGUUGCAGCUGGUCUUUUAGCCAAUGCUGCAAUUCCUAGAAAUGUUCUAUUUGCUUAAAUCGAUUCAUUUCUCAAUUGUAAUGCAUACAAGCUAUCUUGUUUCAGCAUAUGUAUAUCGCUUUGACUUU